UACACAAGGCGCCACAGGUGUGCACCUGGGCGGUCGUAGGCCUGGCUGUGUCCUGCGCUGCCUGAGUGGCCGUCCGCCGGGGCGUGUGUGUGUCACAAUGCUCGGCCCAGAGCCUUAGGACAGUGCCGGGCAUUUACCUAAGAGGACAGGCAUUUACCUUGAGCAGACCAGUGGGUUGUUGCUCGGUUGUUUUUAAGCCCCGGGUGGAGACACUGGUGCUUUUGCUGCAUCACGAUGAGCGUGAAGAAGCCAGCGGGAGUUCAACGCAGAGCAAGCACCUCCCAUCCUGCGGGAGCCCCAUGGAGUCCCUGGUGAAGGCCGUCCUGCUCUCGCUGCUGCUAGACCCGGCGUUUCUCCUGACCCAGCAGGACGAGGGUAAGUGUGUGCGGCGCUCGGCUUUUCUCCGCCACUCCCCUUGGAUGACCUGGUGUCUGGGGACGUGUCCUGAGAUGUGAGUCCACUUUCCUUUGGUCUCUGACGUGCAUUGGGGACGUGGGACAUCACUGCCCGCUGGCUGGCCGCGUGCCACGGUCUAACCCAGCCGCCUUCAGGGGUGGGACGCGUCCCUGUGUGUGCGUGUCAGUUACUGAUAUUGAUGCUGAUUCUCAGCGCCUCGCCGUUGUAGGGAGGAUGGUGGUGAAAAACACACACUUAGGUCCCGAGUGCGUGUGGCGGGGGUGCUGGGCGGUGGGGUGUUCUGCUUCCUGGGCCGUCAGCGCUGUACGAUGGACUGGAGAUUAGGGGUAGUUGGGGGACUGUCGGUCUCAGGGAAACCCUUGGUCCUCCGGGUCCAACUGUCGUGGUGUCAAGACAUCCAGGUAAACGAAGCUCACUGGGCAGGACAGGGACCCCCGGAACCCCAAACGCCCUGUAAGAGCACUGUCAGGAAUCACUGCCCAGGCCUGGGGGCCCUGAAAUGACCAGGGAGAACUGCCGAACGACAGUUAGCUUUUGUGACUUUUAACCGACCUUUUGAGGGCAGACACGUGAUUGCUUUAGGCAGCCACGAUGGAGACCAGGG
rnacentral:lncRNA from 1 species